GCUUAGCAAAGACACAGCUCCUCACCAGCCCAUCCUAGCAGGGAGCUGAGGCUUGUGGAAGCACAGACCGUUCUCUCCUGAGAGCUGACCUUGAGUUGAAGAGGGCUUGCAAAGAAGCUGAGGAUCACCAAGCUGUGGAUCAGUCACAUCAUUUCCAUGUUGUCUCCUCUGGGGGACAUCAUUUGCAUCAUCUCAGUCUCAGAUACUUAUUCACUUGAUUUUACUGCAUUUGACAACAAA
rnacentral:lncRNA from 12 species